GUUUCUUUCACAUCAAGAGGGGCUGAAAAGGGGAGAAAGCCACUGCAUUUGGUGGUGUGGGAUACACUGGUGUUUGCCGGCAUCUCGGAGCCUGGUAUUAGCAGAGAGGUGACUUGUGCCAGAGAAAGCCAAGGAGUGGAGCGGAGGAGAGCCCAGCUGAUCUCUGUUUUUCAUCCAUGAUCUCCCACCCUGAUCCCUCUGAUCCUCCAGAACAGCCCGCCAACUGUCGCCCUGCCAGAUCCAGCUGCCUGCAAGGAAAAAAUGUCCUUUUUCACCGACAUGAGGAAUCACAGUAACUCAAGGAGUUGCCUCCUUGCUCAGGCCUUGACCUGCAAAUGAUGCUUUACAUGGAUAAGGAGCUCGG